rnacentral:rRNA from 1 species
AAACUUCACACUGGGGGCAACCCCGAUGAGGGAAUUCCUAGUGCCAGGGCUUUUUGUCCUGGCUUUUCUCCAGCGUAGAUUACUGGAGGAAUAAGGGCUGGGUAAGACGGGUGCCAGCCGCCGCGGUAAUACCCGCAGCCCAAGUGGUGGUCGAUUUUAUUGAGUCUAAAACGUUCGUAGCCGGUUCAUUAAAUCCUUGGGUAAAUCGGAUGGCUUAACCAUCCGAAUUCCGGGGAGACUGGUGAACUUGGGACCGGGAGAGGCAAGAGGUACUUUUGGGGUAGGGGUAAAAUCCUGUAAUCCUAAAAGGACCGCCGGUGGCGAAGGCGUCUUGCUAGAACGGAUCCGACGGUGAGGGACGAAGCCCUGGGUCGCAAACGGGAUUAGAUACCCCGGUAGUCCAGGGUGUAAACGCUGCAGACUUGGUGUUGGGGACCCUUCGGGGGUGUUCAGUGCCGGAGAGAAGUUGUUAAGUCUGCUACUUGGGGAGUACGUCGCAAGGAUGAAACUUAAAGGAAUU